CCAUAGAUGUUCUGGGCCGCACGCGCGCUACACUGACGGAGCCAGCGAGUACUUCCUUGGCCGAAAGGCGUGGGUAUUCUCGUUAAACUCCGUCGUGCUGGGGAUAGAGCAUUGCAAUUAUUGCUCUUCAACGAGGAAUCCCUAGUAAGCGCAAGUCAUCAGCUUGCGUUGAUUACGUCUCUGCCCUUUGUACACACCGCCCGUCGCUACUACCGAUUGAAUGGCUCAGUGAGGCGUCCGGACUGGCCCACGGAGGUGGGCAACUACCACCCAGGGCCAGAAAGCUCUCCAAACUCGGUCAUUUAGAGGAAGUAAAAGUCGUAACAAGGUCGCCGUAGGUGAACCUGCGGAGA
rnacentral:rRNA from 1 species